rnacentral:rRNA from 1 species
CCUGGCGGCAGGCCUCAUACAUGCAAGUCGAACGAGAAAGUAUCUUCGGAUACGAGUACAGUGGCGGACGGGUGAGUAACACAUAGGAAUCUACCCAAUGGAGGGGGAUAGCUCGAGGAAACUCGAAUUAAUACCGCAUAAUCUCCACGGAGUAAAGAGGGCUUCGGCUCUUGCCAUUGGAUGAGCCUAUGCAGGAUUAGCUUGUUGGUGAGGUAAAAGCUCACCAAGGCAACGAUCCUUAGCUGGUUUGAGAGGAUGACCAGCCACAUCGGGAC